rnacentral:rRNA from 1 species
UACGUAGGGUGCAAGCGUUAAUCGGAAUUACUGGGCGUAAAGCGUGCGCAGGCGGUUCGCUAAGACAGAUGUGAAAUCCCCGGGCUUAACCUGGGAACUGCAUUCGUGACUGGCAGGCUAGAGUAUGGCAGAGGGGGGUGGAAUUCCACGUGUAGCAGUGAAAUGCGUAGAGAUGUGGAGGAACACCGAUGGCGAAGGCAGCCCCCUGGGCCAAUACUGACGCUCAUGCACGAAAGCGUGGGGAGCAAACAGG